rnacentral:sRNA from 1 species
GGAUCCAUUCAUUGCUUGGAUAUGUCUACAUGUAUGUAUAUAUAUAGUGAUAAUAAAAUGAAUAUGGGGGAAAAAAACCAAGGGUAUAUUAAAACAAAAGAAGAUUCGUGGAGCGCUGUACAUGUAUGCACAAUGGGAAAUGAAAAGUCAGGUUAACCGAAAAAAAGAAAAAAAAAAAGAAAAAAAAAUUGCAUGGGUCUCUUGAAAACAGGUGCUGAAACGACAAGAACGCCAGCGGGGUACUCCCAUUUUUUCAAAAAUGUAUAUAUUGCACACAUGGGGAAGAUAUAACAAGAUUACUAAAAUGGAUGAUGCGGAU